AAAACAUCUCGGUCUCAAACUCCAGGAGCGGACCCGCCAUCUUGGAAGUCCACCUUAGCGGUGCUACUAGAGAAUCAGCUGCAGACUCCGUCAAUGUUUCGAAACUGCACACAUCCGGUGACGACAAAAGACAAAAGGUCCAGCUCAGUCAGAAUGGACAGAACCCCACUUCUCUCCCAAUGAUCGCUGGUGACAGGCAUCCGCCGCCCUGGGACCCAGUAUGGAUGAGAAGUGUAUGUUUCACACAGGGGGAAGAAUGAUGGUGGCGUACCGCCUCCGAGCUCCAUUUCCUGUGUAAGCAAGCAUCUUCUGUGGAAAUAAGUGUCCAUCGUGAACUUGGAGACAAUUUCAUGCUUCAUAAAAU